rnacentral:tRNA from 1 species
GCCGCCGUAGCUCAGUUGGUAGAGCGAGGCUUUCGUAAAGCCUAGGUCCUGGGUUCGAGUCCCAGCGGUGGCU